CCUACGGGAGGCAGCAGGAAGGAAUUUUCGGCAAUGGGCGCAAGCCUGACCGAGCAACGCCGCGUGGAGGAUGACGGCCUUCGGGUUGUAAACUCCUUUUGCGGGGGAUGAUGAUGACCGUACCCCGCGAAUCAGGCUCGGCUAACUCUGUGCCAGCAGCCGCGGUAAGACAGAGGAGCCAAGCGUUGUCCGGAUUGACUGGGCGUAAAGCGCACGCAGGCGGUGGGGCACGUGGGGUGUGAAAGCGGCCCGCUUAACGGGGCGAGGCCAUCCCAUACGGCCCGACUAGAGAGUGGCAGAGGUUCGUGGAAUUGCCGGUGUAGUGGUGAAAUGCGUAGAGAUCGGCAGGAACACCAAGGGGGAAACCAGCGAACUGGGCCAUAUCUGACGCUCAGGUGCGAAAGCGUGGGGAGCGAACCGGAUUAGAUACCCGGGUAGUCCACGCCGUAAACGAUGAAUACUCGGCAUCUGGUGGCCGAUCUUCGGCGGCCGGGUGCCCCAGCUAACGCGGUAAGUAUUCCGCCUGGGAACUACGAGCGCAAGCUUAAAACUC
rnacentral:rRNA from 1 species